GAGGGACGUUGCCAGUUAUGUGAAGGGCUCGUAUUAUGUUCCUCUACACAAGAUACGACUCCGUUAUCCGUGCCUCCAGAGUCCUCAACACUUCUACACGAUACUGCCUGACCCUCUGGAGGUGGGUUCUGUGACGAAGAGUCAGGUCCUUUUUUCUCUUCUUCUUUCGCUUCAUCCCCUCCUUCCUCGGUAGAACUCGAGGUGCCUGAGGCCCCUUCCUCUCUCUGGAAGCUGCUGCCAGGGACCUCGGCUGAGCCAGAGUCACUGCCAGCACGCAGAAACGAGGUUGCCCUUUCCCCAGUACUCAUCGGAAGUUCCUCACAGUCGGCCGGCUGGCUUGAUUGUCCUUCUGUGUUCCGUGAUGGCAAUGAAGAGGCAGGCUCACUCUUCUUCGGUUCUGCUUGGCCUGGACCCUGAGGGGCUUGACGGCGACCCGGAGCAGUCUGGACUUGAGGCGACAGAGGCAGGAAAUGUGGCCGGAACGCCGGAGGGACAGAUGGGCCAGAAAAAGGGAAGGGAGAGGGAAAUCCAAGUUGAGACGAGAACGAUGUGUAGGCUCCGGAAGACGUGGGAAACGAGGGUAGGCGAUGAGGCGCAGGAAAAGUCUGCAUGCCCAGGGGAAGCGGCCGCGCCAUCGUAGUGGGGACGAUGGCCGGGGGCAGUUUCACAUCCUGGAAAAUCACCUCUCUGGUCUGUUCCACAGGGGUACUCUGCUGGUUGGAGACUACAUUCGACGGUCUGACAGAGGGAACCGGUCCGAAAUCGACUGGCACAGAGGGGAUAAACCGUGGCAAGAACCGUAGACACGUUGUGGGAUCAGUGCUCGCGUGGGAGAGUGGCUGUGGAGGCGUGACGCCUCGCAAAGUCCACUGACGCGUCUGCGGGAAGAAAACCGGGGGGCGCCAUGCAUGCGAAGAGCUGUAAUCGGAAGGGGAAGGCGAAUCUCGACCUUGACCAGAAGAAGAAGGGGAUGCACUCAGAGGGUUACGGCGCAACUCAGGGCGACCCGAGCGCCAAGGAGACGCGGCGGGAGGAGGAACCACACUGGAAUAUGAACCAACCAGAGUCGUGUUCAAAAUGCUGCCGAUAGGGAACUCUCCUUGUGGGAAGUCACUCACGCGUUGGUCUGGAGGCGCGCUAACGGCGAAGGUAUUUGCAGGUGGAGGGACAGAGUUGAGAGAGUGGGAACCUCGCUGAUUGCCGGGAAAGGUGAGGAAAUUAGCAUCCUGAUAACGCAUGUUGCCCCUCAAGCUAGGUGAAUUUGUUGAUGCAUCCUGUGACUGGCCAUAUGCACUGGGAUCAACAAAGGGAGGGACGUGGGACCUGGAGAAGCCAAGACUUUUUCCGGGGGAUGAGGCAGAAGCAGGCUGGAAAAAUUGAGAAUCUACGAAUGAGACCGGUGUCGGACCUCGAGGAAGAAGUGGGGGUGGACGAGGAAAUGCAGAAGAGCGGGGAAUCACAUGGUUUAUCCUAGAGCCAGUAGUUUCAGUAAAAGCGUCCACCAUACUUUUGGAGAUGUUCCGCUGUUCACAGGGCUGUACAGAGAGUUCGCACACAAGACCGGAUUUUUGACAAAUCAUGAGGAAGGGGAGUUGGUACUGCCUCCUACGAGGACACAGAACACACUUCCAGUUUUAAGUGCGGCGUCGCCUGCAUCUUUCUUUUGCAUCAUAAUGCGCGCCCGUGUCCGCGGGGGAUUGAGGAAAAUGCAUUUGUGAGUUUGUUUAACAGAACGGUAAAUGGAUGUAUAAACGUAGAG
rnacentral:lncRNA from 1 species